rnacentral:rRNA from 1 species
GACGAACGCUGGCGGCGUGCUUAACACAUGCAAGUCGAACGGAAAGGCCCUGCUUUUGUGGGGUGCUCGAGUGGCGAACGGGUGAGUAACACGUGAGUAACCUGCCCUUGACUUUGGGAUAACGUCAGGAAACUGGGGCUAAUACCGGAUAGGAGCUCCUGCUGCAUGGUGGGGGUUGGAAAGUUUCGGCGGUUGGGGAUGGACUCGCGGCCUAGCAGCUUGUUGGUGGGGUAGUAGCUCACCAAGGCUUUGACGGGUAGCCAGCCUGGGAGGGCAACCGGGCUCAUCGGACCUGCGGUACGGCCCUGACUCAUUCGGGUCGUAGCACGCGGAAUUGCUGCGCAUUGGCGGGAUGUCUUAUGCAGGACCGCCGGGUGCCGUAUGCCGGCCUUCGGGUUGUAAACCUCUUUGGCGUGAGUCUACGCGUCGCUAACGGUCUUGAGUAAGCGAGCACCGGCUAGCUUGGU